GGGCAGUAUAUGGACACAUUUUUCUCAUCAAAAACUACUAAAAUAUUAUUGUGUUUUGCUUUAGAUCAAGGGAAAAAAACGAUAAAAAUGCACUUUUCAUGACGUCACAAUUACCCCUUUCUAUAACCCUUUACCCUUUCGAAUAUUUUGUGAGGCAAUUAACGUAAAUCUUCGUAAUUUGUUAUUCAUGUUGUAACGAAUAUCAAUGCUACGUUUUUUAUCAUUAUUUAAAUCUGACAAAAUCAUCUAAUCAAAUUCAGUUUUCAACAGUUUCCAUUUGAAACUUUAUAAAUAGCAUUUUUGUACUGUAAAUGAAUAAAGAUACAAGUUUGAAAUAAGUUUAUCCUUAAUAGCAAAAAAUAAUUACGUCUGAAACUGAUUGUCUACGGAAACAAAUCCACGUCUCGCCUUUUCACAGACCGACAAAUUUUGGUGGAAUUUCACAUCUGGCGUAUGAUAAGUCAAUGAACAUGUCCUCCAUAAUUUCCUUAAGUUAUAUUUUUGGAUUUUUUUGUCAGCAUUGCUAAUUAACAGUGUUAUAGCGCAGCGAAUAUAUAUUAUAGAGAGCUUAGUAUCGGGGAAGUAGAGGCCACAAUGAUAUAUCCAUGUUACGUCAUUUUGUUUUUAUACUGUCACGUUUAAUGACUAUGUUGUAAUAUAGUCACGUCUAAAGGUUAUGAAUAUGAUAGGCAGUAAAAUGUACAUGUACAUCUAUCAAAUUGAUCAUACGCAAACGAUUAACGGCGGCUUUUAAUUCAAUUUCUUUAUUUUAUUUUAACUGUAUAAACAUCAAAAGAUGGUGUGUUCUGUUAAAAUACUGUACAACUUUUUGUCAUAAAUUACGACAGAGAAAUUUGUCAUAAACUUUU
rnacentral:sRNA from 1 species